CUGGCUCAGAACGAACGCUGGUAGCGUGGAUUAGGCAUGCAAGUCGAACGGGAUCACCGAUAUAGUAAUAUUGAGGUGUGAGAGUGGCGGAUUGGGGAGGAACACGUGAGCAACCUGCCUUGGAGUCGGGGAAAACCGUUGGGAAACGACGGCUAAUACCGGGAUGUGGCGCCUGGCGACAUCGCCGGAGCGCUAAAGGGGGCCGCAAGGCUCUCGCUCCUAGAGGGGCUCGCGCACCAUCAGCUUGUUGGCGGGGUAACGGCCCACCAAGGCCUACGGUUAGCUGGUCUGAGAGGAUGACCAGCCCCACUGGGACUGAGAUACUGCCCAGACUCCUACGGGAGGCUGCAGUCGAGGAUCAUUUGCAAUGGGCGAAAGCCUGACAAUGCGACGCUGCGUGGAGGAUGAAGGCCUUCGGGUUGUAAAACUCCUGUCAUGGGGGAACAGGCGAGGGGACCCAAUACGUCCCUUAGUUGAGUGUACCCCAAGAGGAAUUGGCGGCUAACUCUGUGCCAGCCGCCGC
rnacentral:rRNA from 1 species